UAAAACAAAAAGAAGUUACCAUACUAGAAGGUAUUAAUUAGACCUGAAAUAAGUAAUCACAAACAUAAUUUUUUUGUUCUUCCAGGAGUAUUUCAAACUCAGUGGAUUGUAUCAUUGUUUCCAUCCUGUGAAAUCUGAAUGAUUUUUCCCACAGAAAUAAUUAAGUAAUAGAGCCUUGUUCACAAAGCUGGAAAACUCAAAUCCUUAGGAGAACACUGUAGAGGACUAAAGGACAAACAAUAUAAGGAUGGAACAAUUUCACAUGGUGUCAAAGAUUUAUGGGGAGAGAAAAAGGAUUCUUAAGUAUUUCACAUGCUUAUGAAAUGUGUAUGCUAAAAUAAAUAUCAGGACAGACGUCUUUAUUUAAACUUCUAUCAAAUAUUGAAGAAACAGGUUAUUACUAUUUUAUUUAACCUACUCCGACACAUAAAAUGGGAACAAAUAUAUACUUGCAGCUUAUCAAUUUAUUCAGAAUUUGUUUAUUGUCUGUUUUCCCCACUAGCCUUUAAGCACUAUGAGGACAAAUACCACUUCUGUCUCAUUCACCAUUACACCAAGCAUAGUGCCUGGCCGCAGUAGUGCUCAGUUAAGUCCUGCUGAAUCAAUGUUGCUCAAUUUUAAGUUCUCAUAUGAGAUCAGCAUAAUACUGAUACCAAAAACGGACAAAGGAGAAAAAAGAACCAGAAACAUAAUCAUACUUAAUUUUUGUUAAUCGUUGUUUUUAGAGAAAGGGUCUUGCUCUGUUGUCCAUGCUGGAGCGAAGUGGCAUGAACAUAGCUCACUACAGCCUCAAACUCCUGAGCUCCAAAGAUCCUCCUACCUCAGCCUCUCAAGUAUCUGGGACUACAGGAAUGAGCCACCAAACUCAGCUGAUUAUUUAUGUUUUAUAUAUACAUACCCAAAUCCUAAUUAAAAUAGUAGCAAACUAAAUUAAACAGAAAAAUCCUGACCAUAGGAAGCUUUUAGGAAAAGUGAUUCAGUUUCCUUCAACACAAAAAAGCAAGAUGGAAGGAGAACCUACAGGCUGAAAAAGAUCUUAAAGACUACAUCUCAAUCAAUUACAACUUACAGACCUUAUUUGAGUCCCAAUCCAAUAAAACAAUAGGGAACAUGAACACUACAUGAAUCUUUGAUAAUUUGUUAAAGAAUAAGUUCAGCUUUCCCAUCUUGCAAGAUGGCGGGUGAAAAAGUUGAGAAGCCAGAUACUAAAGAGAAGAAACCUGAAGCCAAGAAGGCUGAUGCUGGUAGCAAAGUGAAAAAGGGUAACCUCAAGGCUAAAAAGCCCAAGAAGGGGAAGUCCCAUUGCAGCCGCAAUCCUAUUCUUGUCAGAGGAAUUGGCGGGUAUUCCCGAUCUGCCAUGUAUUCUAGAAAGGCCAUGUACAAGAGGAAGUACUCAGCGGCUAAAUCCAACGUUGAAAAGAAAAAGAAGGUUCUUGCAACUUAGAAAACCAGCUGGUGGUGACAAAAACAGCAGUGCCCGAAUGGUUAAACUUCAGAAAAUGCCUAGGUAUUAUCCUACUGAAGAUGUGCCUCGAAAGCUGUUGAGCCACGGCAAAACACCCUUUAGUCAGCACGUGAGAAAACUGCGAGCCAGCAUUACUCCUGGGACCAUUCUGAUCAACCUCACUGGACGCCACAGGGGCAAGAGGGUGGUUUUCCUGAAGCAGCUAGCUAGUGGCUUGUUACUUGUGACUGGACCUCUGGUCCUCAAUUGAGUUCCUUUGCGAAGAACGCAACAGAAAUUUGUCACUGCCACCUCAACCAAAAUUGAUAUCAGCAAUGUAAAAAUCCCAAAACAUCUUACUGAUGCUUACUUCAAGAAGCAGCAGCUGUGGAAGCCCACACACCAGGAAGGUGAGAUCUUCAACACAGAAAAAGACAAAUACAAGAUUACAGAGCAGCGCAAGAUUGAUCCAAAAGCUGUGGACUCACAAAUUUUACCAAAAAUCAAAGCUAUUCCUCAGCUCCAGGGCUACCUGCGGUUUGUGUUUGCCCUGACAAAUGGAAUUUAUCCUCACAAAUUGGUGUUUUAAAUGUCCUAAUAAUCUAAUUAAAUAACUGAUUACCUU